rnacentral:lncRNA from 1 species
UGGGCAGCAUCACCAUCUUCAUCAACUCCCCGACAAUCGAUGAUCUUGGAGCACUCUAUUAGUUGUUUUGAUGUGCAUCCCAAGAGUGAUGUAGGCCUCUCUGAAAGAAUCUGAGGGACCAUAAUCAGCGGUGAAGGUGGGAGGCACUGGAGCCUUCCUCCGAUCGGCAUCUCUCCGACCAGUUGUUCGAUCGCCACCUGACUUGUCUUAAGUCAGCAAGGC